AAUUUUUUCUUUCGACUCAUUCAGCUCUUUGUUUCUCCAAUCAUCACAUGUAAUGGGAAUUUCAUUCCUUACUAGUGCACCGAUAAAACUAGUUAAGGUAUGCCCAUUAGGUUCUAUAAGCUGUCCUGGUUGUUCCAACAGACAUCUAGUAUGAUGCCUCGAGAUCUUCCUUGGACCACCCUCCUCAUUACUGUGAUGCCUCUUCGAAUUUCUUCUUCCGCGGAUACUUUUUUACUAACUUCCUCCUGUUGGUUAUCAGCCAUGUCUAACCUGUAAUAAACCAAGGAAAC
rnacentral:lncRNA from 1 species